CUGGGGAUCAAAGCGAAAGUAAAGUGCAUCGUCCUAAGCUGUCUUUUUUAUGAAACCAGAAACAUCUUAACACCUAGUUUUGUUAAUUUAGAUUUUCUGGAUGGAACGUCAUUUAGAUGAAAUAUGACCAUACAUUUCCAUUUAGUUCAGUUCAGAUGAAAUAUCAAAGUCAUCUGAAGUCAUUGAGGAGUGACCGGUCAAUGGAUCCUUCCCAUACCUAGUGGACAAACUGAUCUUUGAUUUAGUGCACAGACCCGACCUGCCAGAACCCAGCUGUGUGUCCAUGAAGAGAGACUGGUCAAUGGAUCCUCCACAUAACUUUAGUGAACACACUGAUCUUGGAUUUAGUUUGGUCCAGAUGCAAAGACCAAAGUUAUCUAAACCCAGCUGUGUGCCUAUGAGGGGUGUCUGGUCAGUGGAUCUGCCUCAAAACUUAAGUGGACACAAAGAUCCUAUGUUUAGCAUGGACCCACCAGAACCCAGCUGUGUGUCCAUGAAGAGUGACUGGUCAAUGGAACCUCACGUAACUUUCGUGGACACACUGUACCAAAUCUUGGGUUUAGCUUGGACCUGCCAGAACCCAGCUGUGUGUCCAUGAAGAGUGACUGGUCGAUGGAACCUCCACGUAACUUUAGUGGACAUACUGAAUUUGGGUUUAGGUAAAUGCUGCACCAAACUGUUUAUCUUAUCUGUAUUGAAACAAAAAGAAAUUCUUCAAAUUUAAUGCCGUAAAGGGCCUUUACAGUGCCUGUAUGCAAUGCAUUUUAGAUGAAGAUCAAUUAAAGAUUAAAGUACAAAUUAAGAUUAAAGUACCCUAUAAUGCAAUUUCGAAAGCUUCCUUGUUUUUUUUUUUUUUUUUUUUAGACUAUCUAUAGGUUUACAUACAUCCAGUACAAAACAAAACAAACAAACAAACAAACAAACAAAAUAUUAUUUUAUUUAUUUGUCAUAGACUGUAGAUGAGUAGAAUUUGGGUUUAGGUAAAUGCUGCACCAAACUGUUUAUCUUAUCUGUAUUGAAACAAAAAGAAAUUCUUCAAAUUUAAUGCCGUAAAGGGCCUUUACAGUGCCUGUAUGCAAUGCAUUUUAGAUGAAGAUCAAUUAAAGAUUAAAGUACAAAAUUAAGAUUAAAGUACCCUAUAAUGCAAUUUCGAAAGCUCCUGUUUUUUUUUUUUUUUUUUAGACAUCUAUAGGUUUACAUACAUCCAGUCAAAACAAAACAAACAAACAAACAAACAAACAAAAAUAUAUUUUAUUUUAUUUGUCAUAGACUGUAGAUGAGAUGUUAUUAUUGUGUAAUUCCUCUACAUUGAGGGAACAGCAAAGCAAAGAAACCCGACAUUCCUGAAUGAGAUCUACACAGAUCUCUACAUCACACAGAGUGAGAGUGGAGAGAUCAAUAAUGAGCAUGAGGUGAGACAGAUUGAAACACAAUACAGGAGAGCAUCAACAGAGGACACACCAAUCAAAUGCAGUGACAUCUUUAGACCUUUACCUGGACAAGACAAACCCAUCAGAACUGUGCUGACAAACGGAGUCGCCGGCAUUAGGAAAAACAGUCUCUGUGCAGAAGUUCAUCCUGGACUGGGCUGAAGGAAAAGAGAAUCAGGACGUCUAGCUCAUAUUUCCCCUUC
rnacentral:lncRNA from 1 species